AACGAACGCUGGCGGCAUGCCUAACACAUGCAAGUCGAACGAGACCUUCGGGUCUAGUGGCGCACGGGUGCGUAACGCGUGGGAACCUGCCCUUAGGUUCGGAAUAACUCCCCGAAAGGGGUGCUAAUACCAGAUAAUGUCUUCGGACCAAAGAUUUAUCGCCUUUGGAUGGGCCCGCGUUGGAUUAGCUAGUUGGUAGGGUAAAAGCCUACCAAGGCGACGAUCCAUAGCUGGUCUGAGAGGAUGAUCAGCCACACUGGGACUGAGACACGGCCCAGACUCCUACGGGAGGCAGUAGUGGGGAAUAUUGGACAAUGGGCGAAAGCCUGAUCCAGCAAUGCCGCGUGAGUGAUGAAGGCCUUAGGGUUGUAAAGCUCUUUUACCCGGGAUGAUAAUGACAGUACCGGGAGAAUAAGCUCCGGCUAACUCCGUG
rnacentral:rRNA from 1 species